AACACUUAAGGGGCAUCUAGAUGUAGUUUAUGAAAGCCGUUAUUUUGUUUAUACAUUGCAGUAACCAGAUGCUUUAUUCCAUAUAUAUAUGAAAGACUUGUAACAUGGAAGGUGCACACAGUUCACUACAUGAUGGGGUUCUUUAUUCCAUGUACGCUGGCUUAUGGUACCAUGGAAGCUACUUACGUACACACGGUCCAUCACAUCACAUGAUGGUGCAUGCAUCUGGGCUCUGAUCGCCGAAAGUCUGUGGCGGAUAGUGCUGCGGGCACGGCCCG
rnacentral:lncRNA from 1 species